GGGGUUGUAGCUCAGUGGUACAGCCCUUGCCCAGCAUGCAUGAGGCCCUGGGUUCAAUCCCAGCACCA
rnacentral:tRNA from 1 species